GCCCGGGUGGCGGAAUUGGUAGACGCAAGGGACUUAAAAUCCCUCGGUGCUUAGCACUGUGCCGGUUCAAAUCCGGCCCCGGGCA
rnacentral:tRNA from 1 species